ensembl:lncRNA
UUUCCCUCUUCUAUUUUCUAUCUUCUUUAUUUUUGGCCUAUUUUCUUCCCUAUUUUCUUCUUUUUCUUCCCUAUUUUCUAUCUUCUUUUUUGCCUAUUUUCUUCUCAUUUUUUCCCUGUUUUCUUCUUUUUUUUCCCUAUUUUCCUCUUUUUUCCCAAUUUUCUUCUUUUUAAUUUGCUUUUUUUUUGGCUUAUUUUCUUUUUUCUUUUUCUUUUUGCUUAUUUUCUUUUUUCUUUUUUUUUGCUUAUUUUCUUUUUUCUUUUUUUUUUUGCUUAUUUUCUUUUUUCUUUUUUUUGCUUAUUUUCUUUUUUUUGCUUUUUUUUUUCCUUUUUUGGCUUAUUUUCUUUUUUUGCUUUUUUUUUUUUUCCUUUUUUUGCUGUUUUUUUUCUUUUGGCUUAUUUUUUCUUUUUUCUUUGCUUAUUUUUUUUCUUUUUUUUUUUUGCCUAUUUUCUUCUUUUUUCCCUAUUUUCUUCCUUAUUUUCCCCCUAUUUUCUUCUUCUUUUUUUUGCCUAUUUUCUUAUUUUUGCCUAUUUUCUUGCUUAUUUUUCCCCUAUUUUCUUCUUUCUUUUGCCUAUUUUCUUGCUUAUUUUUCCCCAUUUACUUCUUUUUUUUUUUGCCUAUUUUCUUCUUUUUUCCCUAUUUUCUUCUUAUUUUCCCUAUUUCUUCUUGUAUUUUCCUCUUUACCAUCUCCUUCCUUUUUCCUAUGCUCAUUUUUUUCUAUUUUCUUGGAUUUUCCCCUAUUUUUUAAGUAUUCUUCUAUUUUCUCGUUUUCCUAACUCACUUUUUGUUUCCAUUUUCUUUCUUUUCCACUUCAUUUCUCUAUUGCCUUCUUUCAUUUCUCUUAUUUUCUACCUUCUCUCUUUUUUUUUCCUAUUUCCUCUUCUAUUUUUUCUGCUUUUCUUCUAUUUUCUCCUCUCUUCUAAUUUUCUUCUAUUUUUCCUAUUUUCUCUAUUCUUCUGUUUCUUCACUUUCUAUUCUUCUCUACUUCUCCUUUUCUCUUCUUUUUUUUCCUAUUUUUCCCCAAUUUUCUCUAUUUUUUCUGCUUCUCUUCCAUUUUUUCCCCCCCUCCCCCCAUUUUAAACACCUCCGUCCUUUUUCUGACGCCAUUUUCCAGCGUUUUCGCUGUUGUUUUUGCUCCUUUUAUUCCCAUAUUAUUCCCCCUCCCCCGUUUUUAUCCCCACUGCAUUUUGCCAACCCCCCCCCAACAACAAAAAAGGCCCCAAAUCUUUGGGAUGGGGGUUAAAAAUCCAACCCCUUUCCUUUUUAAACAAAGGAAAACACCCCAAAAUUGACCUUUUUUUUCCCCCACUCAUUUCACUCGGUGAGUUGGAAAACGCUGAAAACUCUUUAUUUUCCCCCAUUUAAUUCCCUCUUUUCCCAGCAGUUUCCCAUCCCCGUUCUUACCCCACCAUCCCAUCCGCCCCUUCUCACUCAAUUUGGCCCAAAAAGCACCAAAAUAUCCCUAUUUCAGCCCAUUCUGCAGCAGUGCUGAGUCACGCUGCAGCCACGCUCGGCCCUUUAAAUGGGAAACCGAACCCCAUUUUAAUGCAUUUUAGGGGCAUUUCCGCUCCAGGUAACAACACCCUAAGAUUAAAGACACCCCAAAAACACACCAGACCUCUCAUUAGUCCUCAAUUAACGUUAAUUAAUGCUCUGACGACACGGGCGGCACCGGGGACCUUUUCCAUAUCGGAUUUCAAGGCGUUUCCUGUAAAACCAGAGAGAAAAACGCUGUUGUUAAUCGGUUUCUAUUGUUCUGAUGGAGCAUUUUGUGAUUAAAAACCCCAUUUCUUCCCCAUUUUUAUUGGUCCUUCCAUCACCCCAAAGCCCCAGAGUGGGAUCAGCCCCAUGGGUGCAAUGUGAUUUGCACAUUCCUGCUCAUACACACCCUAAAAACCCCAAUUAAAAAGCAAAAAUAGCCUAUUAUCCCAUAUUUAACAUUACUAUUAAAGUCUCGUUGGGACAACUCAUGUUUUUUAGCACAAAAACAGCCCCAAAAAGACACGUUUUUACUUCAGAAAUGACCCCCUGGGAGUCACCUGAAGGGCCUUUUACACUCAGAAAGACUCUGAAGAAAAAA